CGGCCUCUUUGGCAUCAUUCUAUUGAGGCUGCUUUAUUUUCCUCAUGUCUCACAUUUGGGUUGACAAGAUUUGACUUACACCGUGUCUACAACGCCGCGACAGCUUGGGACUGACUGCAAUGGAUGUUAUAUGGCUUGUAAUGAUUGGAAAAACUGUUUGUCCUUCAUGUCAGAAACAACACGAGCACUUGGAGUACAUAUGUACGUCAGAAAUAUGGUAUACGGUUCUAUAUUCUCUUUUGUUGAGUUGUUGACCCCGCGAGAGUGGAAGAGUUCUGGAGAACAUCUGCGCUGUGUGUUGAUGCGUCUUACGAGAAAAUAAGACCAAGGUAACUGCAAUGAAGCAUCAAGAAAGACAUGAGCAUACCAGCCACCCUGAGAAUGAUAAUUCAUGAGAAGACAUUUCUGACACUAACAAAGUGGAUGGUGAGCAAAGGUCUUGGCCACGUUUUGGAGCAGCACCUGGGUUUUGCAGAUGGCUAUGUAUUCUUUGGCUGUGUAGCAGGGCUGACAAGUCGUGAGACGUGCGGUUCCGUGUGCAAGCUUUUAUUACACAGAAACAUGGUCAUAACAGGCAUGGGUCAAACACUGGCAAACAGGUAUGUAGAAGGCAAGACACAAGAAUAAUCCUAGGGCAAGCAUGGGUCUUCGAUGAGCGAACAAUAUCCAGAGGGCUAAACGAGAGGGGAAUCCAGUAUCCAGAGCAAAGGGUCAAAACACGAGUAACAGGGCAAGGCAAGGAAAAAGACUAAACUAUGAAAACUAUAAACUAAGAUAUGACUAUGAAAACUAGAAACUGAAGUAAGACUAAGAAAACAAUAAACUGAAACAAGACUUGUGAAAACUAUAAACU
ensembl:lncRNA